UGGGGAAUAUUGCACAAUGGGGGAAACCCUGAUGCAGCGACGCCGCGUGAGUGAAGAAGUAUCUCGGUAUGUAAACUUCUAUCAGCAGGGAAGAAAAUGACGGUACCUGACUAAGAAGCCCCGGCUAACUACGUGCCAGCAGCCGCGGUAAUACGUAGGGGGCAAGCGUUAUCCGGAUUUACUGGGUGUAAAGGGAGCGUAGACGGCUGUGCAAGUCUGAAGUGAAAGCCCGGGGCUCAACCCCGGGACUGCUUUGGAAACUGUGUAGCUUGAGUGCUGGAGAGGUAAGUGGAAUUCCUAGUGUAGCGGUGAAAUGCGUAGAUAUUAGGAGGAACACCAGUGGCGAAGGCGGCUUACUGGACAGUAACUGACGUUGAGGCUCGAAAGCGUGGGGAGCAAACAGGAUUAGAUACCC
rnacentral:rRNA from 1 species